AUUAAAUCUUUAUUUAACUUUUAAAACAAUAAAACUAAUUGUCAUAUAUAUAUUUCAACUAAAAUUAAAAAUAAAUAAUUGGAAAAGUAAAAUACUUCAUUUUUCACUUUUGACCUAAUAUUUAUGUGUUCCUCUUUUAUCUUUCUGAUUUUCUUCGAUAAAACUAAUGUCGAAUUUCUUGUAAAAGAAAAAAUAGAUGCAUGUACUUUCUUAGACUUGGAUUUUCCUUUCUUCCAGAACUGCUUAAUUUGUGUGAAUGGUUAUGGAUGUUUUCUCGGUGGGAUAUUUGUCUUGAUUUGGUUGCGGAGAAGAAGAAAAUGAAUCCACAUAUAAUAAGUUUAGGUAUGCAAUUCAAAUUCUUAUUUAGUUUAGGAAUGUUUUGGCACGUUAAUAUUGUUUGGGUAUAUAUUUUCUAUGGCUUCAUAGUGCGGGCAUGAAUAAGCUGUUUUCCCUAUAAUUCACAAAGCGGGUAAAUUGAUUUCUUUUUUUUUUCAUGCAUAGAGAUUUGUUUAUGUAUGAACAAAAUUUAUAAAAAAAAAUUUUGAUAUUUGGUAACUGUAUUUAUAAAUAAACAAAAUUUGUAAAAAAAAUUCUGAAUAUUCGGUAACCGUGUUUUCUAGACUUUUGGAGAUUUGAUCAUAACUAUUCGUAGUUCACAGUUUUUACAAUGUACAUAUAAAAACAAGCCAGUAGAUUUGAAAAUAUAUUAUACUAAAGAAAUCAAUUUUAGAAUUGUUUUUAGAUUAUAUCAGAAUAAUAAGUUAACAGUAAAAGAUGUAUUCAACCGAAAUUCAGUGAAUGUUGAUAACAAUAGAUAUUCCCUCAAAUGUUAAAUAUAGCUUGAAAGUUAGAUUAUUGAUUAUAUAACACAUAGAUUCCCUAACAAACCACAGAAUACAAUUUAUUUUAUUUCAUUUUGUGUAGAAAAUUAAAUAUUCUUUCAGUAGAACAAUAUUUGAAAUAUUUUUAACAAGUUUUAUAACAAAAAAUACUACUAAAUUGAUAUGAGUAUUUAUUGAAUUAUUUCUAUUGUCUUGAUUUUUUUUUUGUUAUAAAACUGUUUAUUUUUAUAUUUAAUAAAUAAAAAUAGCAAUUAAUAAAAUGAGACAAAAAUAUUUUGUCACAUUAAAACAAUAGUAGUGAAUUUUUGUUCUAUUUUUUUAUUUUCUCUUCUUUUAUUGGAAAAUGAGAUUUUAGCAUUAUAAUAACCUUUUUACUAUUAACGUAUCGACUACGUUUAUUCUAGCUUCCAAAUAGGACUAAAUGGCCUUUAAAAAGGAUAAAAUGUCAAACAAUAAUGAUAAUAUAACACUUUCCUAAAAUGACAUUCAUUGUACAUCCAGAUAUUAUUCACACACAAAAUCAGUCUUUAAUUUUGUACUAAUAUAUCUGAUUUCUAAGGACUAUCAAUCAAUGAUUAUCUAAAUUUGUUUCAAAAUUAAAUUAAAAUUGGAAAAAGAAAAAAUAAGAGCGGUAAAAUAGAAAUUCGGUACAGAAUCCAUUUUAAAAUUUAAGCAUCAAAUUUUACUAUAUUCCUGAAAGUGCUGCACAAGGUGAUUUUCUAUCUCUCUCGGGUGCUCUACAAAUUUUUUCAACACAGGCCCCCCUCCACAAUGCUCUCAAAUGGGUAUUAUUCUUGAGCACAUCAAAAUUGAUUGGUCUUUUUUCUCUUUUCUAUGUAGUUUAUGUUUGAACUCUUCUAUAUCUUUGCCGUUAACUUUGUUAUCUUCGAUAGCUUUGUUAUCUUUCGACAUGGUAUGGUUGAACCGGCUUCUUCGUUAGGUUUAGGCUUUGAGUCCAAGUCUGCUGUCUUCCAUGAAUGUACUACUGAAGAGAAAAGUUGUAUAUGUCACUACAUUAUGUUGUGUACCAUCAAGCGAUGAUGAUGAUGGGAGUUUGCUUGGGUAAGUGCUAGGAUGUGAAAAUUAUCGGGUGUCCCUGCGGAUUUAUAAGAAUGACAUAUUUAUCAAUAUAAUUUGCUAUUGAAUAAGAUUUAUUAAAAUGAAACAUCUCUUAACUCCGGUCUCUCUUUUAUUUAAUUUGUACUUUAACUUUGUAUACAUUGCCAAACAAAUAAAUAAAUUGUAUACACUGUACCAAAA